rnacentral:lncRNA from 1 species
GCCCUUUGGAAUUGGUGCUCAGUCAUGUACUGAGUGCCCACCACUGGCCCCCAGUAACUUUGCUUGUCUCUGCAUCUGGCCUCCGUGGGUGACUCGAUUAAAUAAGUACCUUUGCCGCAACAAAAGCAGCAAAGCAGUGGAAGACCAGCACAAAUGCUGCAAAUCAAGGCUUUCUCAUCUGGCAUCCUAGGCUUCCUCUUACAAAUGAACAGACAGGAAGUGUGCCUUUCUCUCCCUCAGCAGCAGUGACAGAGUUGGAAAUCUUUGCACAGAGGCUAAGACUGCGGCUCUGUACAUCUGUCGCUGUUACAUCUGGAGCAGGAGGCAGGGCAGUAGAGGAAAGCUGGGCAGAGGAGGAAAGUGAGCCAGCAAGUGGCUAGGUAACCCAUCCAAGGCCACUCAAGAACGUGACCACUGGCCAAAGGGGGCUCUGCCCAGCGUGCUUCUUUCUUCCUCCCGGCCCGGUGCGCCCUGCCGGUCUGCAGAUCGAAGGCCAACUCUCAGCUCCUCAGCAAUGCUGCCUGCUGCCCUCCAAGGAGGUCAGAUUCUCCUCCCGGGAUGUCACAGGAGCCUCUGCCUCUCUUCCCCGACGGUUGUCACGGUUGGAAUGUGGCAGUGAUGUGUGUGUGUCUUAAUGACUGUCUCUUCUCUCCACUGGGGAUGUUAAGCUCUUAAAAUGAGCCUGUCCUACCUUGAACACCGAAGGACAUGGAGAGGGCAGUGCUAUGUAUUGAAUAAAAGGAAAGAGACUUGAUUGUUUUUAUUGCUCACUGUGGUCCCCAGUGGCUCUCUGGGUGCUGCAUCACUGGAAGAGACCAGAUUAAGGAUUAGAGAGGGGAUAAAAAU